GCCAGACCACCUUCGGCAGCCGAACGUGAAUCCGAAACCAUGCAAUGUUCGGCGGCCGAAAGUGACCUUCAGCGGCCGAACCUUUGCAUUUCUCCCUUAUUGCUUUUCGUUCAAAACUCAUUUCCUUUCACACUUGAAAACAUUCAAAACUCUUCAAACACACAUGAAAACAUAUGUCUUACCCUUCUCGAGGGUUCCGACACCCGAGAUUCCACCAGACGACAGGAAUUCCGAGGCCGGACUCAAGCCGGGUA
rnacentral:lncRNA from 1 species